rnacentral:rRNA from 1 species
AUGAACGCUGGCGGCGUGCCUAAUACAUGCAAGUCGCGCGAACAGACGAGGAGGUUGCUCCUCUGACGUUAGCGGCGGACGGGUGAGUAACACGUGGAUAACCUACCUAUAAGACUGGGAUAACUUCGGGAAACCGGAGCUAAUACCGGAUAAUAUAUUGAACCGCAUGGUUCAAUAGUGAAAGACGGUUUUGCUGUCACUUAUAGAUGGAUCCGCGCCGCAUUAGCUAGUUGGUAAGGUAACGGCUUACCAAGGCAACGAUGCGUAGCCGACCUGAGAGGGUGAUCGGCCACACUGGAACUGAGACACGGUCCAGACUCCUACGGGAGGCAGCAGUAGGGAAUCUUCCGCAAUGGGCGAAAGCUUGACGGAGCAACGCCGCGUGAGUGAUGAAGGUCUUCGGAUCGUAAAACUCUGUUAUUAGGGAAGAACAAAUGUGUAAGUAACUAUGCACGUCUUGACGGUACCUAAUCAGAAAGCCACGGCUAACUACGUG